rnacentral:sRNA from 1 species
GCCGGGCAUGGUGGUGCAUGCCUGUAAUCCCAGCAGCUUGGGACGCUUAGGCAGGAGGAUCAUGAGUUCAAAGCCAGCCUUGGCAAUAGGAAGGCACUAAGCAACUCAGUGAGACCCUGUCUCUA